UACAGAGGAGCCAAGCGUUGUCCGGAUUGACUGGGCGUAAAGCGCACGCAGGCGGAUGCGCGCGUGGGGGGUGAAAUCUGGCCGCUUAACGGCCAGGCGCCAUCCCAUACGGCGCGUCUGGAGUGAUGCAGAGGUCGAUGGAAUUGCCGGUGUAGUGGUGAAAUGCGCAGAUAUCAGGAGGAACACCGGUGGCGAAGGCGAGUCUCUGGGCCGUAACUGACGCUGAGGAGCGAAAGCGUGGGGAGCGAACAGG
rnacentral:rRNA from 1 species